CUGAAGAAGUGACAACGAACAUUUAUAAAAUGAUGGAUGUCCUUCUUCAUCACAUUCAUUUGGAGCUACAACAUGGACAUUCCUUGCAGGAGCUUAUAUUAAAAACUUCCACAAACCUUGCAUAUUUUGUUUGGACCAAUGAGCUGCUUCCCUUGGAUAUUUUGCUUUUAGCACUUGUUGACCGUGAUGAUGAUCCCCAUGCUUUGCGUAUUGUGGUACGUUUAUUUAGCAUUACUUAUUAUGUCUUCAGAAUUGAGUUGUCUUUUAAGUAUGUAUUAGUAUCUCUAUCAAAUGAUUGCAGUAUGUUGAUUCACUUGUAUGUUGGAUAAGUUUGAUACAUAUUUUGUGUCUCAUUAAUGAUGUUGCGAUGAUUUCUUCA